rnacentral:rRNA from 1 species
UAAAUAACAAUGCAGGGCCUUUGGUUUUGCAAUUGGAAUGAGAACAAUCUAAACAGUUUAUCGAGUAACAAGUAGAGGGCAAGUCUGGUGCCAGCAGCCGCGGUAAUUCCAGUUCUACAAGGUUAUUUCAAAGUUGUUGCAGUUAAAACGCUCGUAGUUGAACAUUGAGGUGUGUGCCGGUGUGCGACCGCAAGGUUGUGUGCUGGGACGGCCUUUUGUGAGGGGCGGCCAAUACUGGUCGAAUCCCUCGGGUUACUGUGAAGAAAUUAGAGUGUUUAAAGCAGGCGAUUGCCUUGAAUACAUCAGCAUGGAAUAACAAAGCAGUGUGUUGUCUUUGUUGGUUUAGCAAUACACAAAGUUUAAUAGGGCCAGUCGGGGGCAUUAGUAUUUAGUAGUCAGAGGUGAAAUUCUUGGAUUUACUAAAGACUAACUAGUGCGAAAGCAUUUGCCAAGGAUGUUUUCAUUAAUCAAGAACGAAAGUUAGGGGAUCGAAGACGAUCAGAUACCGUCGUAGUCUUAACUAUAAACGAUGCCGACUCGGGAUUGGUCGCAGUCAUUCGUGACGUGAUCAGCACCGUGUGAGAAAUCAAAGUUUUUGGGUUCUGGGGGGAGUAUGGUCGCAAGGCUGAAACUUAAAGGAAUUGACGGAAGGGCACCACCAGGAGUGGAGCCUGCGGCUUAAUUUGACUCAACACGGGAAAACUCACCAGGUCCGGACAUAGUAAGGAUUGACAGAUUGAGAGCUCUUUCAAGAUUCUGUGGGUGGUGGUGCAUGGCCGUUCUUAGUUGGUGGAGUGAUUUGUCUGGUUAAUUCCGAUAACGAACGAGACCUCCGUUGUGUAAUAAGUGGGGCUGAGCGAUCAGCAACCAUUCGAUUCACAAGACUGACUGCGGUUAGCAGUCGGAAGUUGGAGGCAAUAACAGGUCUGUGAUGCCCUUAGAUGUUCUGGGCUGCACGCGCGCUACACUGACAUGAGCAGCAAGUAUACCUUGGCCGAGAGGUCUGGGGAAUCUGCAAAACAUGUCGUGCUGGGGAUAGAUCAUUGCAAUUAUUGGUCUUGAACGAGGAAUUCCUAGUAAGCGCAAGUCAUCAGCUUGCGUUGAUUACGUCCCUGCCCUUUGUACACACCGCCCGUCGCUACUACCGAUUGAAUGGCUUAGUGAGGC